rnacentral:rRNA from 1 species
ACAGGCUUAACACAUGCAAGUCGAGGGGCAGCAUUUUAGUUUGCUUGCAAACUGAAGAUGGCGACCGGCGCACGGGUGAGUAACACGUAUCCAACCUGCCGAUAACUCCGGAAUAGCCUUUCGAAAGAAAGAUUAAUACCGGAUAGCAUACGAAUAUCGCAUGAUAUUUUUAUUAAAGAAUUUCGGUUAUCGAUGGGGAUGCGUUCCAUUAGUUUGUUGGCGGGGUAACGGCCCACCAAGACUACGAUGGAUAGGGGUUCUGAGAGGAAGGUCCCCCACAUUGGAACUGAGACACGGUCCAAACUCCUACGGGAGGCAGCAGUGAGGAAUAUUGGUCAAUGGGCGAGAGCCUGAACCAGCCAAGUAGCGUGAAGGAUGAAGGCUCUAUGGGUCGUAAACUUCUUUUAUAUGGGAAUAAAGUUUUCCACGUGUGGAAUUUUGUAUGUACCAUAUGAAUAAGGAUCGGCUAACUCCGUGCCAGCAGCCGCGGUAAUACGGAGGAUCCGAGCGUUAUCCGGAUUUAUUGGGUUUAAAGGGAGCGUAGGUGGAUUGUUAAGUCAGUUGUGAAAGUUUGCGGCUCAACCGUAAAAUUGCAGUUGAAACUGGCAGUCUUGAGUACAGUAGAGGUGGGCGGAAUUCGUGGUGUAGCGGUGAAAUGCUUAGAUAUCACGAAGAACUCCGAUUGCGAAGGCAGCUCACUAGACUGUCACUGACACUGAUGCUCGAAAGCGUGGGUAUCAAACAGGAUUAGAUACCCUGGUAGUCCACACAGUAAACGAUGAAUACUCGCUGUUUGCGAUAUACAGUAAGCGGCCAAGCGAAAGCAUUAAGUAUUCCACCUGGGGAGUACGCCGGCAACGGUGAAACUCAAAGGAAUUGACGGGGGCCCGCACAAGCGGAGGAACAUGUGGUUUAAUUCGAUGAUACGCGAGGAACCUUACCCGGGCUUAAAUUGCAACAGAAUAUAUUGGAAACAGUAUAGCCGUAAGGCUGUUGUGAAGGUGCUGCAUGGUUGUCGUCAGCUCGUGCCGUGAGGUGUCGGCUUAAGUGCCAUAACGAGCGCAACCCUUAUCUUUAGUUACUAACAGGUCAUGCUGAGGACUCUAGAGAGACUGCCGUCGUAAGAUGUGAGGAAGGUGGGGAUGACGUCAAAUCAGCACGGCCCUUACGUCCGGGGCUACACACGUGUUACAAUGGGGGGUACAGAAGGCGGCUACCUGGUGACAGGAUGCUAAUCCCAAAAACCUCUCUCAGUUCGGAUCGAAGUCUGCAACCCGACUUCGUGAAGCUGGAUUCGCUAGUAAUCGCGCAUCAGCCAUGGCGCGGUGAAUACGUUCCCGGGCCUUGUACACACCGCCCGUCAAGCCAUGAAAGCCGGGGGUACCUGAAGUACGUAACCGCAAGGAGCGUCCUAGGGUAAAACUGGUAAUUGGGGCUAAGUAG